rnacentral:tRNA from 2 species
GCCCUCGUAGCUCAGUGGAUAGAGCGUCUGCCUCCGGAGCAGAAGGUCGUAGGUUCGAAUCCUGUCGAGGGCA